UGCCAGCCGCCGCGGUAAUACGGAGGGUGCAAGCGUUAAUCGGAAUUACUGGGCGUAAAGCGCGCGUAGGCGGCUUUGUAAGUCGGAUGUGAAAGCCCUGGGCUUAACCUGGGAAUUGCAUUCGAUACUGCAGAGCUAGAGUAUGGUAGAGGGAAGUGGAAUUUCCGGUGUAGCGGUGAAAUGCGUAGAUAUUGGGAAGAACACCAGUGGCGAAGGCGGCUAACUGGCUCGGUACUGACGCUGAGAUGCGAAAGCGUGGGGAGCAAACAGGAUUAGAUA
rnacentral:rRNA from 1 species